rnacentral:tRNA from 1 species
CAGAAAAUAGUUUAAUUUAGAAUAAUAAUUUUGGAGAUUAUAGAUAAUAUUUAUAUAUUUUUUUUGA